GGCAGCUGAUUACUGCGGCGACAUCUCUGGAGAUCAGCAUUGGAGCUGAACAUGGAAUUGGCAAAUCCUCUUAUGUCACUUUCAGUUGACAUUGAAGGUAGCCCAAGCCAGACUAGGACCUUUCUUUCAUUUCCGCAGAGGGCUGCUACCCCAGCGCUCCAUUCACAUUCAGGAAUAAGCUUUCGUGUGCCGCCAUGCUCCAUUGCAUUGGAAGUGUACAAGCGUGGAGGUCUCAAGGAUUCCUGUGCUGAGAAGAGCCACAUAUGGCAUCAGGGAGCUUUUCGGUUUUGGCUUUAAACAAAUCUGCUUGAAGGAGCUGGUGCAACAUUCCUGUAAGCCUUAGAUCAUACCCAACAUGUUUAUUUGUAUAAGCAGCUCACCUAGGAUCUACAAGCAAGAUUGCAUCUCCAUAAUCUCUGCUGCAAAAGAUUCUUCCAGCGGCAUCUGGUGGACCACUGUGUGAAACAGGAUGCUGGACUAGAUGGGCCUUGGGUCUGAUCCAGCAGGGAUGUUCUUAUAUUCUCAUGUUCUUAUUCUGUAAAUUGCUGAACUAGUACAGGACUGUGACCAAGGGCAACAGGGUGUGUGUGUGUGUGUGUGUGUGUGUGUGUGAAGAUAUUGCCAUGUGCACCCCUGAAGGUUUGAUUCAGAGGGGCUGGCGCAGCCAUGGAUGCGAGUUCCACUGCCCAAUCAAGACUGAACCCCCCGCCCCUUAAGUUGAAGUGGGUUAUACAAGCAUGGCUCCCACACUAAAGGAGUAUGAGAAAACAAACACUCAGGCAAAUAGAUAUGGGUAAAGCGGCUACAAUUUUAUUAAACAAUAUUUGAAUGAAAUAACGAUUAAAAAAAUGACAGAAUGGAGCAAGCACCCCGCCCCACCCCCCACACACAAACCAGGCCAAUCUUUUAGGAAGCAAAAACAAUCCUGCUUAGACCACUGUGGGGUGACCAGCGAUGGGAGGGAGGGAUGCUGAAGACUGUGCUAAGUGAGGCACAAAACAGGGACCUGUGCUAGCAGCUUCUGCAAAGCCAUGCCUUUAAACUGGGCCUGACCUGAAACCUCUGUUCCCUCUAAGGCAUGCACAUGUGUGCCUACUCACAAGUUUUUGAUUGUCCACUCAGUUAAUUUUAGAUCCCACUCACGUUGAAUCAGGAAGGCCCCACACUGAAUGUAUGUGCGCACACACUGCCUUGAAACUGCCACCCAGAACAAAACUGAUUCCACACACAAAUGGAAAAAAAAUAGGGGGACCACUGCCUGAAAUCCCACCCACUGUGUCAUGCCAGCUUCAAAGACCAGAUAGAGCAAGGCUGCCUCCUUCUCUCAGCAUGAGGCUGGGGACAUGGCAUUUGACUGCAAAGAGCUUCACAAAGAUUUCGCCAAACUGGGAAACUGGCAAAUGAGAAAGUGUUAAAUGAUGCACAUUGGGCAUAUUGGUAAGUCGUUUGCCAUUUACCCAGUUUGAAGUGAUCCAAAUUGGAAAUCUUUGCCAUCCACCUGGAUUUUUACUAUGCUAAUUUUACAUAUAGCAGAAUCUAAACUGGCUGUGACAAACCUAGAAAGAAAUCUUGGGACUCAAAAGAUCAAGUGAUGUAAACAUCAGUGAUGAAAAGGGCACAUUCCAUGUUAGCAAUGACUGGGAAAGGCAUGGACAUGAAAUGGCCAGUAUCACAGUGCCUUAUAUAACCCUAUGGUGCAUGACUGAAACACAGCAUAUAGCUCUGCUCACCCCAUUUAAACAAUAAAAAAAGAUAUUGCAGAGCUAGAAUUAGUUUUUGUUUGUUUGUUUUUUUAAAAGGUCAAUCAAAAGUGUGGAAUGGUUCGUACCUUCCUACAAGGAAAAAUGAAAGCUGCCGAGCCUUUUUAGUUCACUAAAAAAUACAACUAAGCUGGGGAUAUGUUAGAAGUUUCUAAAAUUAUGCAUGGCUUGAUAGAGAGAUUGUAUCUCUCACUCACAUAACAUUAGACAUUGCUUUCACCCUUCCUUGACACUCUUCAUAAAAUACUAUUAUUAAGCUACCAAUUUAAAUUAAUAUAAACUUAACUAAGCACAUAUUCCACCUUCUAGUAAUAUAAUAAAGACACCUCUUUCAUUUUAUUUUUUUAGCUAUAGCACACUACAGAAGUACUCAUAGAUGUCCUUCAUUUGGCAGAGAUAAUUAGUUUCCGUUAAAGUAACUGAACAACUCUUUGCCUUCAAAGAGGACAUUAUAUUUGCCUAAUUGCAUUUGAGGGCUAAACAUUGUAAAGGAUAAUGUUUCCUGAGAAUGACUUCUCUCUUGUCUGUUCACCUAGGAGGAGGUUCACUCACUGCCUAAAAUAAGGGUCAAUAGGAAUUGACAAGUCAUUUGAAUAAAUGAUCACAAGUUCACAAACGGUUGAACACAAACAGCCUGCUUAAUACAGUGGGCAUUGUUAUUACUUUUCUUAAAUAACCAUGCUGUGAGAGCUCUACUGACUCUUGAAAUCUGCCACAAACCCCAAGACAAGCUUUUGAAUAAGAAGGGCAUCUGUGCUCUACAACUUUAUGUAGGACUGCUAGCUGAACAGAAAAAAGGAAGGAAAAAAGAGCCAGCUUAUUUGAUCCCUUUCCUUUUGGGGAUUUUUGUUGUUGUUAUAUACCUUACUUUUUACCCUAGGCACUGCUUGGCUUUACCCCCAGAUAUCAGAAUUCCAAGAGCUGAAAGAGGACCCUACUUUUAGGUGCUGUAGUCUUCAAAGAUGAUCCAGUGCUGGAACAUCCAAUUAUAAUUCAUCCUUAUACCUGAAUCUUCAUUCCUUCUGUACCAUGAAAUGCACCCUGCCCUAGGAAUUGAUCAGUUUUUUCUCUGUGUUAGAAUGAAGCUAGCAUGUUUCCCCCACUUACUCCUUCAGUUUCUUUAUUUGUCUUCCAAGCAAUUAACUCAACAAAAAUAGGCAUAACCAAAUUAAAAGAGUUCUAAACGGACACUGGUCUGAACAGCUAUUGUUUGUGUAUGCCAGAGGUGCAACUGGUCCUGGAAAAGAACUCUUAGUAUAAUUCAUCCUAAAUAAAGCACCAGCCUCAUAGACUUUGACACUUGACAUUUGACCAGCCUCAUAGACAAGGCAUUUACUGGGAUGGAAGUCACAUCAGUAUUUUUGUUUUCUUUUGACUUUAUUUCAGCAUUAAUUACAGAGGAGAUCCCAUUGGCUUGCCUAGACACUUCUAUUUAAGCUGCAGCAAUUUCUUUUUUAUAGAGUCAGGCUACCAAUGCACAGUUCCGCCUUCCUUUUAAUUUUUAGCUAAGCAAACAUCAAAACAGUGGAUGAAACUGAUGGAGAGCUUAAUUGUAUCAAUCCAUCAAGCCCUAAAUUUGCUUCCUUUCAGAAUUCGCCUUUAAAUCCAAGUGGUGUGAUGGCAAGACACCAAGUUUAAAAUUCUCCAACUGUCAAAUGCUGUUUUACUAAUUAUCUGGCUUCCAAGGCAAUCAUACAACCGUAAUCAUUCACCUCAUGCCUGGAAACAUAAGUCUUGUUCUUUUGAUGAAUAUUUAUAAGACAGUGUAAAGCAGUCUACUUUCUUUUCCCUUUAGGCAAGACAAUUUGGAGUUCAUCAAUAUGUAUUACCAAGGACUUUUAUAAAAGGCACUUCAAAGGAAAUUCAUCAGGCAUUCCUUUUGUCUUGAUUUCUGUUAGACUGAUACUUCCUUUUGACAAGUAUCAAUAAAUUAUCCUCUGAUGGCCAGAAACUUGAUGUCUUAUUCAGAAACUUCCUCACACAGCAUGAUUUGGUAUUCACUUUCCCAAGGAAUUAUGAGCAUCUGCCCACUCGCAUAACAUGGAGAAUGCAGUGCUAAUAUGAAGGACAAUAGAACUAAUCUUUCAACUGUGCAUGGAUGCCACACAUUGAAGCUUGGGCAGCCCUUGCUUGUGUGAAGCACCGGGAUCAAGAGCAAGUCCUGGCACUGCCUCCCCAGGCAGCCUGGGAUUUGUACCUGCCCUUUUGCCCAGAUACGAGGUUGUGCGCAUGCUUGGGCUGUGUGCAGCUCACAUAGACACAGAGUCAGGGACCUAGAGCAACCUCCCUGUUGGGGGGGGGGGGAAAUCCCUCAAUACACUGUGCUACUCAUGCGGUGCAUUUAGGGAUACCUGGAGCUGGGCUUCAUUUUCCAGGCCUCCAGAGAUCCACACUGCUCAGAGCAACCCGGAUCGUGUGGGUGUGUGAGCCGCGCUCCACCCAGAGGAUGACUGAUCGUCUGUGGGGGAAGGUCAAUUCAUCCCUGCCUUCCUCGCUACCUGACAUCCUCACCCCAGUAAGAGUUGUGAGAAUGACCUUAGUGUUUUCUGAGAGUUAAACAUUUUCUAUGAUUGGUAGUUUCCAUGACUUACAUUCCUUGCUACAUUUGCCACAAUAAAAAUUAUAUUAACUCCUGUAUAAAAAUUUAAAACUCAAGGACAGUAAAAACCCAAAUAAAUGACAAGCAAAUUCAAAGCGAAUCAGUGCAGGUAUAUAGUGUUGAAUGACAAAUUGUUCCUAUCCCAAAGGUUAUAUUUCCCUUCAUCGUUUGGCCCAUGAUAUAAUGAAUUAUAUUUCUGGUCAAAAGGGGUAUUGAUCUUAAUGGUAUUAAGAUAAAAUACCUCCUGUGAUAUAUAGAAGAGGGAAUCAAGAAAUAUCUAUCUGUGCUUUUUGACAUUCUAUGCGGGGUGGGGGACAGCAUUUACUUUAAAUUUAAUAAAUAAAUAUAAAUCAGAUAAAUGAAUUAAAUAAAUAAAUAAAUAAAUUUGCCAAAUAUGCAUGCAAAUUUAAUUUGAAUGAUCAUGAAACACAAUAGGUUCCUUUUGUUCACCUAAGAUCUUACCUAUUGUGUUUCCAAGCCUGAGGGAUAUUUUUGAGUUGGCUCCAAAGAUCCCUUUCUGUAUGUGUGUCUUCUGCUCAUUGUAGGGCUGUUUUAAGCUCAUGCUAGGCAUUGUGCAAGAAAAAUGUAAUGCUAUUCACAUAUGCAUGGGUGGAGAGCAAAGAGGAAAAACAGGACUCUGUGGAGCCCUAUCAGAAUCCUCUGCAUAUGGGUACUGCACCUGUGGCACAAGUGGAUCAUGCCCGGUAUAUAGAAACUAGCUUGUAAUCUGAUUUAUUAUAGGGAGAUGUUCAGGUGUGUGUAGUUUUCAGUAGGAAAAAUAAUAUCUAGGAUAGGCCUCAUGUUGCCAUAGGUAGGAAGUAAAGUAUGUGUUAACGGGGAUAGAUAAUUGAAACUCUGCAGGUUGACGCCUAUCAAUUACAUGGUGCUUAGACAGGAAAAAAAUAGUAUGCUUGAGCGCAUUAACAAGGUGUAUCAUCCUGAAUUGCCAAACUGCUGUGCUUUGAUCUCAGUUAAGCUGGCCAUUAGCCAAUUUGAAUUGAGGCCAAGUAAUUUUCUCAGUUUCCCUAUGAACAAGAAUACAAUUUUUUAAGGAACCCAUCAUUGCCUUCUGCUAGGUGAGAAAUGUGUAAUGCUAACGCUUCAGAAGUUAGUUAUCAUCAACCUUGAUUAGAGAAGUUUAACUGCCUAGCUUACAGUACUUAAUUUAUUUUUCUGUCUAAAUUUUUGCUAUACUUCAUAUGCUUUAAAAAUGCAGUGACUGUAUUCUAAUAGUAGUUGGACAAAUUAAACUUUAUAUAUCAUCAUAGUACUAGAACUCAUGAAGUGACCAGCAUGAUUUGAUUGGAAUAAAGGCAAAUGAAAAUGUA